rnacentral:pre_miRNA from 1 species
CGGGCAUCAGUCCGGGCGUUACAGAUUCUUGUCGUGUAAUGCCCAGCUGAUGCAUCGG